rnacentral:tRNA from 1 species
GCCUGUUUAGCUCAGUUGGUUAGAGCAUCCGUCUCAUAAGCGGGAUGUCGUUGGUUCAACUCCGACAAUAGGCA